rnacentral:rRNA from 1 species
UCCACAGCCAUAUCAUCCUGCAGGCCAAGACUGGUUAUUCACUGUAGCUAGACAGAGUUGAGCCUGGUCAGUACUUGAAUAAGAGACCACAUGGGAAAACUAGGUUUCUGUUGGAA